GCGGGGGUGCCCGAGCCUGGUCAAAGGGGGCGGACUUAAGAUCACAUAGGUGAUCCGCUGGAGCAGUCCUGCGCGGGUCCAAAUCCCGCCCCCCGCA
rnacentral:tRNA from 2 species